UACGUAGGGUGCGAGCGUUAAUCGGAAUUACUGGGCGUAAAGCGUGCGCAGGCGGCUUUGCAAGACAGAUGUGAAAUCCCCGGGCUCAACCUGGGAACUGCAUUUGUGACUGCAAGGCUAGAGUACGGCAGAGGGGGGUGAGUACGUCCGUGUAGCAGUGAAAUAGCGUAGAUAUGCGGAGGGAACGACCAACUAGGCGGAAGGACGAAUACCCCUCGGGCCGUCGUACUGACGCUCAUGCACGAAAGACGUGGGGAGGC
rnacentral:rRNA from 1 species